GACGAACGCUGGCGGCGUGCCUAAUACAUGCAAGUUGAGCGCUGAAGGUUGGUACUUGUACCGACUGGAUGAGCAGCGAACGGGUGAGUAACGCGUGGGGAAUCUGCCUUUGAGCGGGGGACAACAUUUGGAAACGAAUGCUAAUACCGCAUAAAAACUUUAAACACAAGUUUUAAGUUUGAAAGAUGCAAUUGCAUCACUCAAAGAUGAUCCCGCGUUGUAUUAGCUAGUUGGUGAGGUAAAGGCUCACCAAGGCGAUGAUACAUAGCCGACCUGAGAGGGUGAUCGGCCACAUUGGGACUGAGACACGGCCCAAACUCCUACGGGAGGCAGCAGUAGGGAAUCUUCGGCAAUGGACGAAAGUCUGACCGAGCAACGCCGCGUGAGUGAAGAAGGUUUUCGAAUCGUAAAACUCUGUUGGUAGAGAAGAACGUUGGUGAGAGUGGAAAGCUCAUCAAGUGACGGUAACUACCCAGAAAGGGACGGCUAACUACGUG
rnacentral:rRNA from 1 species